AGUAAUACUCCAUAGCAUAACGAAGUCGCAUGGCUUUGUUAUUAAAGCGCCGGCGGUUGAAGAUGAAUGUGCGUCUGAUUAGCUUGUUGGUGAGGUAACGGCUCACCAAGGCGAUGAUCAGUAAGGGGCGUGAGAGCGUGGCCCCUCACAUGGACACUGAGACACGGGUCCAACUCCUACGGGAGGCAGCAGUAAGGAAUAUUGGUCAAUGGGCGCAAGCCUGAACCCAGCCAUGCCGCGUGGAGGAUGAAGGCGCUCUGCGUUGUAAACUUCUUUGGUCGGAGACGAAACCCGUCCCUGCGGGGGCGGCUGACGGUAUCCGAAGAACAAGCACCGGCUAACUCCGUG
rnacentral:rRNA from 1 species